rnacentral:rRNA from 1 species
GACGAACGCUGGCGGCGUGCUUAACACAUGCAAGUCGAACGGAAAGGCCCUGCUUUUGUGGGGUGCUCGAGUGGCGAACGGGGGAGUGACACGUGAGUAACCUGCGCUUGACUUUGGGAUAACUUCAGUAAACUGGGGCGAAUACCGGAUAUGAGCUCCUGCUGCAUAGUGUGGGAGGGAAAGUUUCGGCGGUUGGGGAUGGACUCGAGGCUUCUCAGCUUGUUGGUGGGGUAGUGGCUUACCAAGGCUUUGACGGGUAGCCGGCCUGAGAGGGUGACCGGCCACAUUGGGACUGAGAUACGGCCCAGACUCCUACGGGAGGCAGCAGUGGGGAAUAUUGCACAAUGGGCGGAAGCCUGAUGCAGCAACGCCGCGUGCGGGAUGACGGCCUUCGGGUUGUAACCCGCUUUCGCCUGUGACGAAGCGUGAGUGACGGUAAUGGGUAAAGAAGCACCGGCUAACUACGUG